GUCCGGGUGGCGGAAUGGCAGACGCGCUAGCUUGAGGUGCUAGUGCCCUUUAUCGGGCGUGGGGGGGUUCAAGUCCCCCCUCGGACACCA
rnacentral:tRNA from 1 species